rnacentral:rRNA from 1 species
AUACGAAGGGGGCAAGCGUUGUUCGGAAUAACUGGGCGUAAAGCGCACGUAGGCGGAAUGUUAAGUUAGAGGUGAAAUCCCAGGGCUCAACCCUGGAACGGCCUUUAAUACUGGCAAUCUAGAGACCGAGAGAGGUGAGUGGGAUUCCGAGUGUAGAGGUGAAAUUCGUAGAUAUUCGGAGGAACACCAGUGGCGAAGGCGGCUCACUGGCUCGGUACUGACGCUGAGGUGCGAGAGCGUGGGGAGCAAACAGGAUUAGAAACCCCAGUAGUCC